ensembl:snRNA U6 U6 spliceosomal RNA
GUUCGCUUUGGCAGCACAUAUACUGAUACUGGAACUAUACAGAGAAGAUUAGCAUGGCCACUGCGCAAGGAUGACACGCAAAUUCAUGAAGAGUUCCAUAUUUUA